CACGGAUCUCUUCUCCUGUCUUGCUUUCUCCAUACCCCCCUGGCAGGGGAAAUGGCUGACACGGGAGAUGAGAGAUGCUCAGUUUAAUGAAACGAAUAAAGCAUUGACUUGAGAUUGAAAAGACCUAGAGCUGACUUCUGCUUCUCUCUCUGGGGACGCUGGUCUAUCAGCCCGGAUAGAAACCUGUCUCUGCUCUCCUCCUGCCCAGGGGCGACCGAGCAGCUUGCACUGCUGGGUCCCAGUGCAGAGGGCUGCGAUGCUGUGUCACCAGGACACGAAUGGUAAAAAAUAGUCUUCUUUUGGCUAAACAGAGUUCAUCACCGAGAAGGAGGCAGAUUGAUGUGUCCAGCACGUUUGUUGUUGUUGUUGUUGCUACUGUUUGUCUUAUUUUAAAAUUUAAUUAAAAGUACCACAUUCCAGUUUUCUUUUGGUUAUUCUUUAUGGUGCUUUUGCUCUUGAGAGCCAGAAAAAAAAGGAUGUGACUGCAACAUGGCCUAUGAUACCGAAGGAGAUAGGAGAUGACAGGUCCUGUCCUACAGGGCUGAGUAGU